CAUCGGAGCCUGGUAUGAAGAAAACCGAUCGUAAGGUAAGGGUAAGGCUUCCGGAGUCGGAGAUCCGAACCGUGCUGGGUCGAAACAGCAUCAAAUAUUGGGGAACGGCUUCAAAUUUCUCACAGAUGAAGAAGCACCACCAUGCCGCCACCUACUCCUCCUCCUCAUCCUCGGCUCGGCAACCCCAAACGCCGCCGUUUCGACCUUCUCAACGGCGGCCUCUCUCGCUCUCCCAGCCGAUCUCUCCUCUCCCAUCCACCACAGUCAGUAUUUUAAACUCAAAUUUCACCGAUUUGUUAACUCUCUAUCUUCUUCAAAAUCUGUGCUUUUUUUCUUUCUCUUCAACUGCUCGGUUGGGUGAUUAUGUUCUCUGUGGGUUUUGUGCUAUCCUUAAUUUCAAGUGGGGAGGAAAGUCCACGGAGUAGAAAUGGAAAAUUUGGAAUUCAGGUCCAAAUUCAAAUUCAAGGUGGUGGCCACAUGGCUGGGUCUGUGAUCAUCAUGAUCUUUCUAGCAAGUUGUACGGCUUGUGAGUCGUCGAGGCCGAGGGAUGUGUCUCCCAUUGAUAAAGCUAAGAGUUUUAGCUCGAAAUCACAAGAAUGAGCAGAGCCCAGAUGAGAAAUGAGGGACAAUUUGAUACCCAAAUCAAAUUGAAGCUUUCGUGAAGAAAUUAGAAGAACCCAGAUAAGGAAUUGGGGGACUCAAGUCAAUUACCGAUGGAGAACUCUGUUGCUUCAUGAUCUCAUGCAAGAACUCAACCAACAUAGACUCAGUUAUUGAUUGGCUUGUAAAGCAUUCAAAAUCAAAAAGCUGAGUGUCUUCUUCUCUUUGGCUUUGAUUUCUGUGUGCUAUAAUAUUACAAAUUUUUCAUAUAUGGGUUGUUGGUGGUGGGAUUCACUGGUCUAACUUGAUUGCUGAUUGAUUUAUGUGUGUAACUUUCCCUGUAUCAUUUCUGAUUGCAGACGCUUGGGUUGUUGUUUUGAUCUUAAUCCCCCUUCUUCCCCAGAUGCCUGCCUAAAUUCAUAAUUUCGUAGUAAAGGAAUUCAGAAUUCAUGGAAGUUUGGAAACUAGCAUUUUCCCUUUGCAUGUGAUAAGCAAACGAGGGAUCAAUAAGAGAAAAUUUUCAAUUUUGGUUU